GCUGGGCGUGGUGGCGCACGCCUGUAAUCCCAGCUACUUGAGAGGCUGAGGCAGGAGAAUUGCUUGAACCCAGGAGGCGGAGGUUGCAGUGAGCCGAGAUCGCGCCACUGCAAUCCACCCUGGGUGACAGAGCAAGAUCCUGUCUCAA
rnacentral:SRP_RNA from 2 species